rfam:Triticum aestivum genome assembly, contig: Triticum_aestivum_CS42_TGACv1_scaffold_616881_7DL
CAAGUACUCCCUCUGUCCAGAAUUACUUGUCAUCAAAAUGGAUGUGUCUAGAACUAAAAUACAUCUAGAUACAUCCAUUUCAAUGACAAGUAUUUUCGGACGGAGGGAGUACAAG